rnacentral:lncRNA from 1 species
CUGUUACACCCAGUGAGAGAGAACCAAUCAGAGACCGAUAUUAAAUCCACACAGGAGUUUAUUACUGGCUGGGACCCGAGCCAAGCAUCGGACUCGAGCCUUGACUGGGGGAGACAAACAUGUUUUAUACACCUUUGAGGCCAACAGUUUCUAGGCCCCCCUAUGGGAUAGAACUAGUAAAGCAAGCAAAAGGUCACUCCAGAGGAGGAGUUAGGAUUGAUUAGAGGAGUAUCAGAGAGCCAUAUUUCCCAAGACCCUUCUGGGCCAGUAGAGAUGGAGAAGAAAGGACAGCGACAAGACGAGAACACUGAUGGAAGACUGCAGGGCGCUGACACUGCUGGCAUUGCCAGCGGAAGUGGUGCCAGGCAAAAGCUUUAAUUGGAAGUGAGGGAAGAUAAAGAACUCCAUCUUAAGCAGCUGGAAAGGGACACACUCUGAUGAAGAGGAUCAGAUUGGUUCGUGCAUAGGAGAAGGGUCCAGUUAAUAAGUGUUCUCUGACUAGUCACAGUGAUUAAUGGAAUUCCCUGUCUUCAGAGACAGAGCCUGAACAAACCAGAAGUUGCUCUUCCCAGUCUCCUUUGCAGCUUGGCAAAGACAAGAUUCCUGUAAUCAGAUGAACCCUCAGUUAAUACUUUGGAAAGAAAGUUCUUAACAACUUUUCAGCUUCCAUUGACAAG